UACAGAGGGUGCGAGCGUUAAUCGGAAUUACUGGGCGUAAAGCGUGCGUAGACGGUUAUUUAAGUCGGGUGUGAAAGCCCCGGGCUCAACCUGGGAAUUGCAUUCGAGACUGAAUAGCUAGGGUACGGUAGAGGGAAGUGGAAUUUCCGGUGUAGCGGUGAAAUGCGUAGAUAUCGUAAGGAAGACCAGUGGCGAAGGCGGGUCUCUGGACAGUUCCUGACGCUGAGACGCGAAAGCGUGGGGAGCGAACAGG
rnacentral:rRNA from 1 species